rnacentral:rRNA from 1 species
GAGUUUGAUCAUGGCUCAGAUUGAACGCUGGCGGUAGGCUUAACACAUGCAAGUCGUGCGAGAAAGUAUCUUCGGAUAUGAGUAGAGCGGCGGACGGGUGAGUAACGCGUAGGAAUCUACCUAGUAGAAGGGGAUAGCCCGGGGAAACCCGGAUUAAUACCGUAUACCUCCUUCGGGAGAAAGAAGGCCUCUCUUUGAAGCUUUCGCUACUAGAUGAGCCUGCGUAAGAUUAGCUUGUUGGUGAGGUAAAGGCUCACCAAGGCAACGAUCUUUAGCUGGUCUGAGAGGACGAUCAGCCACAUUGGGACUGAGACACGGCCCAGACUCCUACGGGAGGCAGCAGUGGGGAAUCUUGCACAAUGGGCGAAAGCCUGAUGCAGCGAUGCCGCGUGAGUGAAGAAGGCCUUUGGGUUGUAAAGCUCUUUUGUCGGGAAAGAUAAUGACUGUACCCGAAGAAUAAGGUCCGGCUAACUUCGUGCCAGCAGCCGCGGUAAUACGAAGGGACCUAGCGUAGUUCGGAAUUACUGGGCGUAAAGAGUAUGUAGGCGGCUAGAUAAGUUAAUUGUGAAAGCCCAAAGCUUAACUUUGGAACUGCAAUUAAAACUAUUUAGCUGGAGUAUGAUAGAGGAAAGCGGAAUACAUAGUGUAGAGGUGAAAUUCGUAGAUAUUAGAAAGAAUACCAAUUGCGAAGGCAGCUUUCUGGAUCAUUACUGACACUGAGGAACGAAAGCAUGGGUAGCGAAGAGGAUUAGAUACCCUCGUAGUCCAUGCCGUAAACGAUGUGUGUUAGACGUUGGAAAUUUAUUUUCAGUGUCGCAGGGAAACCGAUAAACACACCGCCUGGGGAGUACGACCGCAAGGUUAAAACUCAAAUGAAUUGACGGGGACCCGCACAAGUAGUGGAGCAUGUGGUUUAAUUCGAAGAUACGCGCAGAACCUUACCAACACUUGACAUGUUCGUCGCGACUCUAAGAGAUUAGAGUUUUCGGUUCGGCCGGACGAAACACAGGUGCUGCAUGGCUGUCGUCAGCUCGUGUCGUGAGAUGUUGGGUUAAGUCCCGCAACGAGCGCAACCCUCACUUUUAGUUGCCAUCAUUAAGUUGGGCACUCUGAAAGAACUGCCAGUGAUAAGCUGGAGGAAGGUGGGGAUGACGUCAAGUCCUCAUGGCCCUUACGUGUUGGGCUACACACGUGCUACAAUGGCAUCUACAACAGGAAGCAAAACGGCAACGUUAAGCAAAUCCCGAAAAGAUGCCUCAGUUCGGAUUGCACUCUGCAACUCGAGUGCAUGAAGCUGGAAUUACUAGUAAUCGUGGAUCAGCGUGCCACGGUGAAUGCGUUCCCGGGUCUUGUACACACCGCCCGUCACACCAUGGGAGUUGGUUCUACCUUAAGGCAAGGUUUUAAACCCUUGACCACGGUAUAGUCAGCGACUGGGGUGAAGUCGUAACAAGGUAACC